UACGUAGGGUGCAAGCGUUAUCCGGAAUUAUUGGGCGUAAAGAGCUCGUAGGCGGUUUGUCGCGUCUGCUGUGAAAACCGGAGGCUCAACCUCCGGCCUGCAGUGGGUACGGGCAAACUAGAGUGCGGUAGGGGAGAUUGGAAUUCCUGGUGUAGCGGUGGAAUGCGCAGAUAUCAGGAGGAACACCGAUGGCGAAGGCAGUUCUCUGGGCCGUAACUGACGCUGAGGAGCGAAAGCGUGGGGAGCGAACAGG
rnacentral:rRNA from 1 species